AUCUCUUCUUGGUCCUUUGGCUAAGAUCGGAUGUAGUAUCUGGUCUUAUCAGUUUUACUAUCUGAUACGCCCCCUCUCUGGGGCAUAUUUAUUAAAGGGAAUUUUAGAAUAGGGAGAUGGAAAAAAAGCUCUCUUUCCACUCCACGCAAUGACCUGAUAUUGCAGUACUUUCAUGACCGGUACACAAUGU